CGGAGGAUGCAAGCGUUAUCCGGAUUCAUUGGGUUUAAAGGGUGCGUAGGCGGCUUUUUAAGUCAGUGGUGAAAUCCUGCCGCUUAACGGUAGAAUUGCCAUUGAUACUGAAGAGCUUGAGUACAGUUGAGGUAGGCGGAAUGUGUAGUGUAGCGGUGAAAUGCUUAGAUAUUACACAGAACACCAAUUGCGAAGGCAGCUUACUAAGCUGUCACUGACGCUGAUGCACGAAAGCGUGGGGAGCGAACAGGAUUAGAUACCCUGGUAGUCCACGCCGUAAACGAUGAUCACUCGCUGUAUGCGAUACACAGUAUGCGGCCAAGCGAAAGCAUUAAGUGAUCCACCUGGGGAGUACGAUCGCAAGGUUG
rnacentral:rRNA from 1 species